CCGAAAAAGGUGGGCGGGCACGUAAAAAUAUUAGUUCAGAAGGGGAGGUCCAGUUGCCUUUCACCUCUGAGGCUGCAGGUUCGAAUCUCACUAAGUACCUUCUCAGUGCGACUCGAACCCAGUCCCCAUGUGAAAAGAGUAAAAGUCAACGCUCUGCCGAACGCCGUGGGUUUUCCCUGGGUACUCCGGUUUCCUCCCACAGGGAAAAGUUGACAGGGUGGGUUAGGUAAAAAAAAAAGGGCCCACAGUAAUUGGCAUAUGCUGUUGUGGUGACCCUGCCCUAGUUGGCGAAGCUAAUAAAAAAAAAAUAAAAAAAUAAAAAAAAAAAAAAUUUUAUUAUAGUGGGGGGAAAUUUGACACGUAACGAUUAUUGCUACAGCAGAGAGCGAGCAAGGCAGCAAAUUUAAUUCAUGUACCUAGCAAAAUUCUCAAUUUUAAUCAACACUGAUAGAUCGAAAAUGCAAUGCGCAAAUACCCAAAAUGCAAUGCAUGCAGCUAAUAUGAAAUACAAUCGAACAUCUAUCUUAUAACUUUUGCCAUGAACUUGCCAUAAAUAUUGUCAUGUUUCCCUGAUGUACAUUUUAAUAAAACAGACACUCACGAUAACGAGUAAGCACUGUAGUACAGGGCCGUACUACAUUAUCCAUGACAAACUGCAAAUAAUGAAGAUAUUACCCAUACUUUCUUGUAACUUAUCCAAUAUAUAGUUAAUUAAAUACGCCUUUGCCCAUUUAGUACUACUCAUUUGUAAACAAAUUGCAAAUUUCGACAUACUAAAACGCUGUUUUCUGACCAUCAAAAUUUUGUCAAAUCUUUCCCAAAGUCCAGGAAAUGGCAUUUC